GACGAACGCUGGCGGCGUGCUUAACACAUGCAAGUCGAACGGAAAGGCCCUGCUUUUGUGGGGUGCUCGAGUGGCGCACGGGUGAGUAACCCGUGAGUAACCUGCCCUUGACUUUGGGAUAACUUCAGGAAACUGGGGCUAAUACCGGAUAGGAGCUCCUGCUGCAUGGGGGGGGUUGGAAAGUUUCGGCGGUUGGGGAUGGACUCGCGGCUUAUCAGCUUGUUGGUGGGGUAGUGGCUUACCAAGGCUUUGACGGGUAGCCGGCCUGAGAGGGUGACCGGCCACAUUGGGACUGAGAUACGGCCCAGACUACUACGGGAGGCAGCAGGGGGGAAUAUUGCACAAUGGGCGGAAGCCUGAUGCAGCAACGCCGCGUGCGGGAUGACGGCCUUCGGGUUGUAAACCGCUUUCGCCUGUGACGAAGCGUGAGUGACGGUAAUGGGUAAAGAAGCACCGGCUAACUACGUG
rnacentral:rRNA from 1 species